rnacentral:rRNA from 1 species
AUUGAACGCUGGCGGCAUGCCUAACACAUGCAAGUCGAACGAGUGGCGGACGGGUGAGUAAUGGCUGAGAAACUGCCCGAUGGAGGGGGAUAACUGCUGGAAACGUUAGCUAAUACCGCAUACCAUCGGAUGUGCACAGAUGGGAUUAGCUAGUAGGUGGGGUAACGGCUCACCUAGGCGACGAUCCCUAGCGGGUCUGAGAGGAUGACCAGCCACACGGGGACGGAGACACGGUCCAGACUCCUACGGGAGGCAGCAGUGGGGAAUAUUGCACAAUGGGCGCAAGUCUGAUGCAGCCAUGCCGCGUGUAUGAAGAAGGCCUUCGGGUUGUAAAGUACUUUCAGCGAGGAGGCGUUACUCGCAGAAGAAGCCCCGGCUAACUCCGUGCCAGCAGCCGCGGUAAUUC